rnacentral:rRNA from 1 species
ACCAUCCUCCAAGGCUAAAUACUCCUGACUGACCGAUAGUGAACCAGUACCGUGAGGGAAAGGCGAAAAGAACCCCGGCGAGGGGAGUGAAAAAGAACCUGAAACCGUGUACGUACAAGCAGUGGGAGCCUCUUAAUGGGGUGACUGCGUACCUUUUGUAUAAUGGGUCAGCGACUUAUAUUCUGUAGCAAGGUUAACCGAAUAGGGGAGCCGAAGGGAAACCGAGUCUUAACUGGGCGUUAAGUUGCAGGGUAUAGACCCGAAACCCGGUGAUCUAGCCAUGGGCAGGUUGAAGGUUGGGUAACACUAACUGGAGGACCGAACCGACUAAUGUUGAAAAAUUAGCGGAUGACUUGUGGCUGGGGGUGAAAGGCCAAUCAAACCGGGAGAUAGCUGGUUCUCCCCGAAAGCUAUUUAGGUAGCGCCUCGUGAAUUCAUCUCCGGGGGUAGAGCACUGUUUCGGCAAGGGGGUCAUCCCGACUUACCAACCCGAUGCAAACUGCGAAUACCGGAGAAUGUUAUCACGGGAGACACACGGCGGGUGCUAACGUCCGUCGUGAAGAGGGAAACAACCCAGACCGCCAGCUAAGGUCCCAAAGUCAUGGUUAAGUGGGAAACGAUGUGGGAAGGCCCAGACAGCCAGGAUGUUGGCUUAGAAGCAGCCAUCAUUUAAAGAAAGCGUAAUAGCUCACUGGUCGAGUCGGCCUGCGCGGAAGAUGUAACGGGGCUAAACCAUGCACCGAAGCUGCGGCAGCGACACUAUGUGUUGUUGGGUAGGGGAGCGUUCUGUAAGCCUGUGAAGGUGUGCUGUGAGGCAUGCUGGAGGUAUCAGAAGUGCGAAUGCUGACAUAAGUAACGAUAAAGCGGGUGAAAAGCCCGCUCGCCGGAAGACCAAGGGUUCCUGUCCAACGUUAAUCGGGGCAGGGUGAGUCGACCCCUAAGGCGAGGCCGAAAGGCGUAGUCGAUGGGAAACAGGUUAAUAUUCCUGUACUUGGUGUUACUGCGAAGGGGGGACGGAGAAGGCUAUGUUGGCCGGGCGACGGUUGUCCCGGUUUAAGCGUGUAGGCUGGUUUUCCAGGCAAAUCCGGAAAACCAAGGCUGAGGCGUGAUGACGAGGCACUACGGUGCUGAAGCGACAAAUGCCCUGCUUCCAGGAAAAGCCUCUAAGCAUCAGGUAACAUCAAAUCGUACCCCAAACCGACACAGGUGGUCAGGUAGAGAAUACCAAGGCGCUUGAGAGAACUCGGGUGAAGGAACUAGGCAAAAUGGUGCCGUAACUUCGGGAGAAGGCACGCUGAUAUGUAGGUGAAGCGACUUGCUCGUGGAGCUGAAAUCAGUCGAAGAUACCAGCUGGCUGCAACUGUUUAUUAAAAACACAGCACUGUGCAAACACGAAAGUGGACGUAUACGGUGUGACGCCUGCCCGGUGCCGGAAGGUUAAUUGAUGGGGUUAGCGGUAACGCGAAGCUCUUGAUCGAAGCCCCGGUAAACGGCGGCCGUAACUAUAACGGUCCUAAGGUAGCGAAAUUCCUUGUCGGGUAAGUUCCGACCUGCACGAAUGGCGUAAUGAUGGCCAGGCUGUCUCCACCCGAGACUCAGUGAAAUUGAACUCGCUGUGAAGAUGCAGUGUACCCGCGGCAAGACGGAAAGACCCCGUGAACCUUUACUAUAGCUUGACACUGAACAUUGAGCCUUGAUGUGUAGGAUAGGUGGGAGGCUUUGAAGUGUGGACGCCAGUCUGCAUGGAGCCGACCUUGAAAUACCACCCUUUAAUGUUUGAUGUUCUAACGUUGGCCCGUAAUCCGGGUUGCGGACAGUGUCUGGUGGGUAGUUUGACUGGGGCGGUCUCCUCCUAAAGAGUAACGGAGGAGCACGAAGGUUGGCUAAUCCUGGUCGGACAUCAGGAGGUUAGUGCAAUGGCAUAAGCCAGCUUGACUGCGAGCGUGACGGCGCGAGCAGGUGCGAAAGCAGGUCAUAGUGAUCCGGUGGUUCUGAAUGGAAGGGCCAUCGCUCAACGGAUAAAAGGUACUCCGGGGAUAACAGGCUGAUACCGCCCAAGAGUUCAUAUCGACGGCGGUGUUUGGCACCUCGAUGUCGGCUCAUCACAUCCUGGGGCUGAAGUAGGUCCCAAGGGUAUGGCUGUUCGCCAUUUAAAGUGGUACGCGAGCUGGGUUUAGAACGUCGUGAGACAGUUCGGUCCCUAUCUGCCGUGGGCGCUGGAGAACUGAGGGGGGCUGCUCCUAGUACGAGAGGACCGGAGUGGACGCAUCACUGGUGUUCGGGUUGUCAUGCCAAUGGCACUGCCCGGUAGCUAAAUGCGGAAGAGAUAAGUGCUGAAAGCAUCUAAGCACGAAACUUGCCC